UUCGAAAUCCAGCUCUCCUGGGAUGCAGUCAUCAUCUGAGGUGCAGUUUGCGUUCGGGAUGUUGAAAUGCUGAGUAUCGUAUUAAUGACAUCACCACCCUGGAAAGAAAAUGCAGAAAUGUCUAAAAGGAGAACAUGGACAUGUGUGUCCCAGAUAGAUCCGGAUUAAAGGGUGUAUUCUUUCUUUUCUCUCCUCUCUCACCUCAGACGGGCUGGCGUACUCGGUCGUGUCCCGUACACUAUCCCCUAGUACAGCGACUCCCCUCAUCUCAGUGUACACAGAACUCUCGGGACGCUCCUCAG